UAAAUUAAAUAUAAUUAAAUAAAUAAAUAUAUAUAUAUAUAUAUAAAAUAAAAACAAAUAUAUAUAUAUAUAUAUACCUUUGGGGCAUUACAUUCUUCCCUCCUUAAGAAACUUUCGUCCUCGAAAGUUUUACUCCUGAAAUAACUCUGGAUAACGAGUCCUCAUCUCUUCCUCUCGCUCCCAUGUCGCCUCUUCCAUUCGAUGGUUCCGCCACAAAACUUUUACUAAUGGAAUGCUUCUAUUACGAAGCAUCUUUACCUCCCUAGCCAGAAUCUCCACAGGUUGUUCUACAUAGCUCAAAUGCUCAUCAAUCUCCAAGGGUUCAUAGUCCACUACAUGAGACGUAUCGGCCAUAUAUUCCUCAACAUCGAAACAUGGAAAACAUUAUGGACUGCAGAGAGUGAUGGUGGUAACGCCAAGCGAUACGCCACAACGCCAACCCUCUCUAAGACCUCAAAUGGUCCAACAAAACGAGGACUUAACUUCCCUUUCUUCUCAAAAUGCAUAACACCCUUCAUAGGUACUACCUUCAAGAAUACCUUUUCUCCCACAUCGAACUUAAGGUCUUUUCGCCGUACAUCUGCAUAACUCUUCUGUCUACUCUGCGCUGUUUGCAUACGUGUUCUAAUCUUUUGAAUAGCCUCAUUAGUAGACCGAACUAAUUCAGGUCCCAUCAACCUAUGUUCACCAACCUCACCCCAACAAACAGGGGUUCUACAACAUUUGCCAUACAAAGCCUCAAAUGGUGUCAUACCGAUGGUAGCCUGGAAACUGUUGUUAUAAGAAAACUCCAUCAAAUGUAGAUGAGAGUCCCAACUACCUGGAAACUCUAUAACACAAGCUCGUAGCAUAUCCUCUAAAACUUGGUUCAAACGUUCAGUUUGACCAUCAGUCUGUGGAUGAAAGGCUGUACUAAAAUCCAAUCUCGUACCCAUAGCAGUCUGAAGUCCCUUCCAAAACUUGGAAGUAAACCGUCCAUCCCUAUCAGAAACAAUCGAUACAAGCACUCCAUGCAGUCUCACAAUCUCAGUUAAAUACAACUCUGCCCACUUACUAGCAGUAUAAGUGGAUUUCCCUGGUACAAAAUGUGCCGAUUUCGUAAGCCUGUCUAUGACAACCAAAAUCACUGUGAAACCCUUCAGGGUCUUAGGCAGCCCUGAAAUAAAAUCCAUCGACACAUUCUCCCACUUCUACUCUGGCACACUUAAAGGUUGUAACAAACCUGCUGGUUUCUGUCUAGGUGCCUUAACUUGCUGACAUACUAAGCACUUACUAACAAGAUCUUCCAUUUCUCUCUUCAUAUUACGCUAGUAACAAACUCUUUUCAGAUCCGGAUACAUUUUUGUGCUACUUGGAUGCAUGAGAAAUGGGAAACUAUGAGUCUCAACCAAUAACCUUGUCUUAAUUGCUUUUUCUGUUGGCACACAUAAUUCUCUCUCAAACAUAAGUUCAUCAUCAAAGGAUAUGGAAAACUCCUUAACUUGCCCUACUUCUACUAGGCGAUGCUUCUCAAUCAAAUAAGGAUCAAUGAAUUGAACCACAAGAAUUCUUUGUCUCAAGGUCGGAUGUACUGACAACUGAGCUAACUUUGAGGUGACUUCCCCCACUGAAACUACAAUCUCAGCUCUCUCGUGGUUUUUUUUUGUCUAAUGAAACCUGUCUGGUAAUAAGUGCUGUCAAAAUGUGAUACUUUUCUACGAAGAGCACCAACUUCCACAUUCACCUUACCUAGAUGGUACAAAAUCUCACAAUCAUAGUCAUUUACUAACUGAAACCAUCUUUGCUAUCUCAUACUCAACUUCUUUUGAGUGAAGAAGUAUUUUAUACUCUUUUGGUUAGAAAAUAUCUAUAUCUUUUCAUCAUACAUAUAGUGCCUUCAAAUCAUUAAUGUAAAAACCACAACUGUCAAUUCCAUAUCAUAAGUUGGACAAUUUUCCUCACGAGGAGUACAAGCAACUACUUUAACUUGUUGAAUAAGAAUACCUUUUAAACUUUCCUAAAAGCAUCACUAUAAAUUACGGAACAUUCUGAACCAUCAUGUACGGUAAGCACGGGAGUUGUACAAGCUUCUGCUUAAGAUCCUGAGCACUAUCCUCAUAGGCUUUGUCCCAAACAAACAGAGUCCCUUUUCUUAGUUAACUGAGUCAAAGGAGUAGCUAUACGAGAAAAUUCUUAUACAAACCGUUAGUAAUAACUUGCUAACCCUAAAAGACUAUGAACCUCACUGACUAUGAAAAGUCGAGGCCAACUAGUAACAACUUCAAUCUUUUGUGAGAUCCACAUAAAUGUCACCUCUAGAUACCACAUGGCUUGGAAAGAUACUUGGCCUCAUCCAAAACUCACAUUUUGAAAACUUUGCAUACAAUUCGUUGACUCGAAGAGCCUCUAAAACCAUGUUAAAUGCUCCUCAUGCGCUGUCUCUAUUUUGGAAUAAAUUAAGAUAUCGUCAAUAAAUACAAUCACGAAAGUGUCUAAGAGAUCGUUAAACACUUUGUUCAUCAAGUCGUAAACAUUGUUUGAGCAUUUGCCAACUCAAAAGACAUCAUAAUGAACUCAUGAUGUCCAUAUCACGAACGAAAAUCUGUCAUAGGAAUGUCACUGUUCUCUAAUCCUCAACAAGUCAUAACCUGAAUGUAAUUCAAUCUUAAAGAACACGGACUUAUUGCAGUUGAUCAAACAAAUCCUCAUUCAUUGGUAAAAGAUAUUUAUUCUUAACCGACACCUUAUUCAACUUUCUACAAUCAAAACAUAAGUGCAUCGACCCAUCUUUCUUCUUAAUAAACAAAAAUUGGUGCACCCCAAGAUAUCAUACUUCGUCGAAUGUAGUCCUUGUCAAACAUUUCUUUCAAUUGCACCUUCAAAUCUUUCAACUCUGUUGGGGCCAUUUUGUAUGAAGCUUUAGAUAUAGGAACGAGUCUAACUCUAUCUCAAUAGGAAGACCAAAUUCUGUUUAGCGCGGUAAUCUUAGAAACUCUUCUAGACAAAUAUCAUAAUACUUUUUCACCACUGAUUCAAAUAACACAGAAACAUCGACUUCUCUGGUGUCUACCACACUAGUCAAAUACAACAGGUACCCUGGUCAAGCAACUUACUAACCUUCAUAGCUGGGAUAACUUUUAGCGAAAUGAUAGUUCCAACCUCUUUGUACUUGAAACAAGCCUCUGGAGAAGGAUUAGAAACUACAUUUUCGCUGAACAUUUUAUGUUUACAUGGUUAAACUACAUUCCAAUUUUCAAACUCCAAACUAGUAACUUUUCAUUCACGAGAAACUCAAAAUUGUUUCUUAAAGUCACAUCAAGACAACCAUGCUCAUCUUCCUUGUUUCUUUUCCAAUACCUCCAUUCUAAAACCAUUUAAUGUGUUUCGUAUAAACUUGACCGUGUAUUUAGUCCUCGUUAAAACCACCUACAUAACUUAUUUUUCUUAGAUUUCCAAUCACAAAACAGACAAUUUCGCUAACAACGUCUUACUUUUCUACUACUCGACCACUCCUUUGAACACCUCUACAUGGCAACAUUUUUCCUAAAUUUCACCAUUAAAUCCUUCACCAUUAAAUCAUAACAUUCAUGUAAUUCUAGUUUAACUUAGGCAAGGUCAUAUACAUAAACCAUACAUAUAAGCAUAAAGCAUACCUGACGAGAGACGAAGGGUCGCGUUUGCCAUAGGAACACAAAAACAUAGACUUACAUCGUAAGUCAGUCUACAGAACCUAAAACUUAGGCUCUGAUACCAACUGUAACGACCCAACUUUUCUAAGUAAGUCGAGGUCGUUAAUUUUUUUUAACAAAAGACUUUGGUUGAUACAAAACGAAACGUAAGUCAAUUUAAAAACAAUACAUCUUCAGGCCUGAUUUUCAAAUAUUCAAGAAAACAUAAAAUAAUACUGUUUGCAACAAACGUUUGUAAACUAAAUUUCAAAUCAAUCUUAAAUAAGCGGAAGCAACUACACGUUUCCUAUGGCAUCACGCUUCCUUCCUGCCCCUCGCCGGUUUGCCGCCUUUAUUACCUUUGCCUGAAAAUUAAACAUAAGAAGGGUGAGUAUUUUAAAUACUCAGUAAGAGACCCUCUACUGGUCUCGUCAGGGGAAAAUAAAUUGUUAAAGUUCUAUUGGGACACCCUGUACAGUCGCAGUCUUGUGAUCCCGUAGGAUACACAUAUCAGUCUAACGCCCCGAAGGACGUACAUAUCAGUCUGACGCCCCGAGGGACGUACAUAUCAGUCAAGUGUUCUGCAGAACACAUAUCAGUCAAAUGCUCCCGAAGGUGCAAAAAUAAAUUGGUGAUCCCGUGGGACACCUACAAGGUAAUCAUCCCAAUACAACUUAACAAUUUAUCCCCUCAUUCCAUUCAACCCAUCUUUCAGAUACUUCAAAACAUAGAGUUCCUUCUCUCAACAGUCAACUUAUCUCACUUAGGUCAUAUGUCUGUCAAUAACAUACUAAUACAUCAGUCAAUCAAACUAUACAGUCAAUACACCCCUCAGAUCACCAGCACACAGUCAUACUUUAGCGUAACGACACCCAAUCUAAACGACAAUCACAAGAUCGCAUCUGCAUCUCAUACAAGCAUAAUCUACAAUUUUCGUCCUGUCCACAUCCACACACAUAUAUAUAUAUUCCAUGACAAUCACAAUAUGCAUUCCACAUUAAGUCUACUUCAAUUCCUAUGCAUAUGUAUAUAUAUUUUCAGUCAAUCCACAGUGUACAUUCAGCACCGAAUCUACACCCAUACGUGUAUAAACAUAAGUAUCACCUCAACAUCUUUACUCAGUCAAAGAUAAUCAUUCAGACAUACAAUUCACAAUCAUAAGUGAGUCCAGUAGAAAAUCCCUUACCUUCAAAUUUGUUAAGCUCCUUAACCACGUUGAAGUCUAUGAAGAACGAACCUAAACAUUAAGACAAUUUCUCAAUAAUUCCCUUCAACGCAUCAGUCAUUUAAAUUCAACCCAAUGUGAAUCUUUUUGCAACUUACCCAAAUCUUCGCGAAAGAAAUCGAGUAGUGGCUUUGCGAAGAGAUGACGUGCGGCGGAGAGACCGUAUACAGAUGGCCGGAGAGUCGCGCGGCAGUGCAGACGACGGAGGAGAAGAAAUCGGCGGCGGCUGGGCUGAAAACAGAGGAGAAAGGAGAGGGGAGACAGCCGGCGGUUACAGGUUCACGCGGCGGCCUUGCUUCGCGAACAGAGAUGGCGGCCGACGGUUGCAGCGACGGAAGAGCAACGGCGCCGCAGAUCUGGACUGGCAGCGGCGCAGUCUUGCUUCGCGGUGGGGCUGCGGACGGAAGAAGAAAAUGGAAAGAAAGGAUCGGCGGCUAGCUGCGGGACGGGAAGAAGAAGAUAGAGGUGUGGUUGCGGCUGGGCUGCGGUUGGCUGCGGCGGGACGGGAAGAAGAAGAUAGAGGCGGCGGCCGUGGAGCGGAGAAGAAAAGAGGAAGAAAAAGAAGAAAGAAAAGAGAAAGGAAAAGAGAAGAGAACGGGGGGGGGGGCUGUGCAGCGCGCGAGAGAGAGAGAGAGAAUUUCUUUUUCUUUUCUUUUUUUUAUUUAAAUUAAAUAUAAUUAAAUAAAUAAAUAUAUAUAUAUAUAUAUAAAAUAAAAACAAAAUAUAUAUAUAUAUAUAUACCUUUGGGGCAUUACAUUCUUCCCUCCUUAAGAAACUUUCGUCCUCGAAAGUUUUACUCCUGAAAUAACUCUGGAUAACGAGUCCUCAUCUCUUCCUCUCGCUCCCAUGUCGCCUCUUCCAUUCGAUGGUUCCGCCACAAAACUUUUACUAAUGGAAUGCUUCUAUUACGAAGCAUCUUUACCUCCCUAGCCAGAAUCUCCACAGGUUGUUCUACAUAGCUCAAAUGCUCAUCAAUCUCCAAGGGUUCAUAGUCCACUACAUGAGACGUAUCGGCCAUAUAUUUCCUCAACAUCGAAACAUGGAAAACAUUAUGGACUGCAGAGAGUGAUGGUGGUAACGCCAAGC
rnacentral:lncRNA from 1 species